rnacentral:lncRNA from 1 species
CUCUGGGGUCUUGUUUUCUUCCCAAUGCUAUUUAGAACACUAAUGCACCAUGUGCUAAAAUCAUAGCCCUUGGUGCUCAGAAGCAUAAAGCAGAAGUAACAGGCUGAAUCAGUGCUGAUCUUGGAAAACACAGUCUGCUUAGACAGAAGUUGAAGAGAGAAAAUUGGCAAGAAUGAAGAAAUCAGACAGCUUCAUGGAGAGUUUCUCAGUAGGAAAGCCACUGAGGAAACACAUAAGAGCUGAAGGAAGAUGCCACAUCAACAAGACUCUCAAAAUUCUGUGGAACUAUUCACAUGCAGAAGAACUGCAUCCCCAUUCUACCAACUGACACUAACCAGCAGGAAUGUAAAGAAGCCAAGUUAAAAGUCUAUUGAUUUUCCAACCUCAGCUGUAUCUCACCUGACUUACUAUCUCUCUGAUAUUCUCAAUGUAGUCUCAGAUGUGUUAUGAUAUUCCUGGAUCAGAAAAAGGGCCAGGAGAGAUCUUUUACUUCCUUUUAUUUAUUUUAUUGCAAUUGAUUUAUUAAACUUUUUAUCCUAUCACCAUGCACCAAACUCAAGUCAAAAUGGUUCACAGAUCUCAAUAUUAAACCAGAAAC